ensembl:rRNA 5S_rRNA 5S ribosomal RNA
CCCUUGUGCCAUAGUAGCCUGAGGAUGCCCAAUCCCGGAAGCUAAGCAGGGUCAGUCCUUGCUGGGGCUUCAGUGGGGGACUGCCUGGAGAGACCAGGGACUGAAGGCU